rnacentral:rRNA from 1 species
UACGGAGGGGCUAGCGUUGUUCGGAAUUACUGGGCGUAAAGCGCGCGUAGGCGGCUUUGUAAGUUAGAGGUGAAAGCCCGGGGCUCAACCCCGGAAUUGCCUUUAAGACUGCAUCGCUUGAAUCAUGGAGAGGUGAGUGGAAUUCCGAGUGUAGAGGUGAAAUUCGUAGAUAUUCGGCAAGAACACCAGUGGCGAAGGGCGGCUCACUGGCCCGGUACUGACGCUGAGG